rnacentral:rRNA from 1 species
GAUGAACGCUAGCGACAGGCUUAACACAUGCAAGUCGAGGGGUAGCAGGGAUAAAGCUUGCUUUAUUUGCUGACGACCGGCGCACGGGUGCGUAACACGUAUGCAACCUACCUUAUACAGGGGGAUAGCCCAUGGAAACGUGGAUUAAUACCCCAUAGUACUUUACAUUCGCAUGAAUGUAGGGUUAAAGUCUUCGGAUGGUAUAAGAUGGGCAUGCGUCCCAUUAGAUAGUUGGAGAGGUAACGGCUCCCCAAGUCUAUGAUGGGUAGGGGUUCUGAGAGGAAGGUCCCCCACACUGGAACUGAGACACGGUCCAGACUCCUACGGGAGGCAGCAGUGAGGAAUAUUGGUCAAUGGUCGAAAGACUGAACCAGCCAAGUCGCGUGAGGGAAGACAGCCCUAUGGGUUUUAAACCUCUUUUGUAAUGGAAGAAUAAGUCUUACGAGUAGGACGAUGCCAGUACAUUACGAAUAAGCAUCGGCUAACUCCGUGCCAGCAGCCGCAGUAACAC